UUCUGUAUCUAAAAACAGGGUUAAUUGCACUAUAAAAUAAUUGGAUUUUACUCUCGUCUUCUCUCUUGAGUAUAUAUCCUCUUAUGAAAUGGAAGGCCUUUAAAUAGCUAGCCGUUCCCCGCUCUCCUCCAUUGCUCAAUAACACAUUAAUUCAACAGCUUUAAUCGCUGCUCUCCUCCUUUCAUUUUGUUUCAGUUCAGGACAGGGAGAUGGCGAGAAUGAGCAUGCCAUCAUCUCCAAGGCCUCGAAUGUUACGACACCCCAGUCACAUUCAUCCUCUUUUUGAGUUCCACCUAGCCGUAGGGGGUGAAUUCAUCUGCGAUGGUUGCAGGACCUGUGGUUACGAGAAGAGCUACAGGUGCAACUAUUGCAAUUUUGAUCUUCAUGAAUAUUGUGCCACUUGUCCCAUAAAGCUCCGAUCUGGCUUGCACGUGCAUGAGUUAACACUUGUCAACCUUGUUGCCACCCGCAAAGUGUGUGACAUAUGUGAAGAGUGUGUUGACGGGCUCUUCUAUACAUGUAGCUUUUGUGACUUCAACGUGCUCCAGUUUGCACACAAAUUCCGACGAAGUUGCAGCACGGCCACCUCCCUAACCAUUCCUUGACACUUCGGCAGCCAAGGAUGUCCAGUUGGUGCGUGGUUUGUUGGGAUGCUUGCACAUCAUGGCGUUACAGGUGUGAUAUUUGCCAAGUGGAUGUGCACUUGGACUGCGUUUAUGAGCCAUUUUAUGAGCUCAAGACCUGACCUCGAUCUCGGUCCAUGGAGGCAUAUAUGGGUUCACCGCAAUUCGAGGCAUGUCUCGAGAGCCCAUCUUCCUCUCGCUCCACCCCAGCGAACAUGGGCCCACGACAGCUUAUGGGUGGUUUCCAUGGUUUUCCUAUGAUGGUUCCUAACCAAGGACAAAUGGGCCAUCUUGCAGCCUACCAGGCCCACAAUGGCAAUCAAGGUCGGAGGAGUAAGAGGAGGAAAAUUAUCUCCGCUGUGGCCAAGUUAGCUGCUAACGUGCUGUUUGGUUCUGUGAUUGGUGUGAUGCCAUUUUCUCCAGAAGACUUUUGGGGAUCUUAGUCCUCAGAUCCUACAUUUCAUGCUCUUGUAAUCUCUUUCUAUAGAUUUGGCACGGGGAGCGCGCUCACAAAAAGAGCAUCUGCCACGCUGUUCUUCAUUCUCCCCACAACGGACGAAUGGAAUAAACCAAGAGUAUUUUUCGAGCCUCUUCAUCAAUGAUUAUGAUGGUGUAACAACUUGAUGGUUUUCUCAUCCCAAAAGAAAAGGGUGAAAUCCCAAUAACACAUGUAUUGAGUUUGUAAUGACGGUUAUGAUUUGAGGUCUACUGUGCCUUUUUUUCCAACUCAAGUACACCUGGUUUGCCGUAAUCAUAUGCCUUGUUCCUCCAGUAAUCCUCCAUUCUUCCUUGAAAGUUUCUCAAGGACUUAUUUUUUUGGGCCUUUUAACUGGGUAUGUACUUGAGCUAGUGUUUUUAUUUUUAAGAGCAAACUAUUCCCUUGUCAGAUUUUUCUCUAAAAUUAUUCACAUCUAAACUGAAGAGAAUUUUAUUUCUUGUACAACAAUUCAAACGUUAAUACGAGAUAAUAAUUUAAAAAGCA